AGGUCAUGCCUUCAGAAGCACUACUGAUUAGUCACUGCCCAUGCUCCUGUGUUAAAGAAUUAUGGGUUCUACUUAUUCAUCUUUUAGACCACAGAAGGAAAUGGUCUGUUGCAGAUUCAUUUUGGAAUUGGUUGAAUAAACUACUUAGAACACUUUUUGAAAAGUCAAGUGACCAACGAAGAUCUUCUGUGUCUCUAACCCAGGCCAAGGAUCCAUUAGGCUUUAGUUGGUGGAUUAGUGUUCAUGUAGCAUCAUUGUACCAGAUUGAUCGCCAUGGUGUGUCAGACAAAAUGAAACAGAUGGAAUCCAAUUGGAGCUUUAUAGAAGAACUUUUGAAACGGUCCGUCACUGUUCAGGAUAGUAUACUAGAAGAACAAUUGCGAAUGCAUCUUCAUUGUUGUUUGACACUUUGUGAUUUCUGGGAGCCAAAUAUUUCAGUUGUCACCAUUUUAUGGGAGUAUUAUUCUAAGAACCUGAAUAGCUCCUUCAGUAUUUCCUGGCUUCCUUUGAAAGGCCUUACCAAUAUUAUCAAGUCUCCACUGUCGAUGCUUACACUGGUGAGGAACUGCUGUAGUGAUAAACAAGACCCUGACCUCUAUAAGUCCAGCAGCAGUUACAUCAUUUUUCUUUGCAUUCUGGCAAAAGUUGUUAAGAAAGCAAUGAGAACCAGCGGCCCUCACCCUUGGAAGCAAGUUAAAGGAAGAAUAUAUUCUAAGUUUCAUCAAAAAAGAAUGGAAGAACUAACUGAAGUUGGCCUACAGAACUUUUUCAGCCUUUUUCUACUGUUAGCAGCUGUUGCAGAGAUAGAAGAUGUAGCAAGCCAUGUUUUAGACCUCCUUCGUUUCCUCAGGCCUGCCUCCAUGUCAUCUCAUGGAGCCCUUGUUUGGAAGGGUCAGAUGGCAUUUCUCCUGAUGUAUGCCCAGAAAAACUUGGACAUUGGUGUUUGGGCUGAGAAACUGUCAUGUGAAUUCCAAGAGAAAGCAAAGGAAUUCUUGGUAUCUAAGAAUGAUGAAAUGGUACAGAGACAUGCUCUAUGGACACUGCUUUGCAUCUAUAUUGAUGGUGUUCAAGAAGUAUUUGAGACCAGCAGUUGCUUGUAUCCUUCUCAUGAGCAUCUUCUCAAUGAUGGAUUUAGCAUGUUACUGCCAGCCUGUCGAGAAUCUGAACUUAGGACAGUCCUGAACUUUCUACAAGCUGUUCUGGCGAGAAUCAGGAGUGUUCAUCAGCAAUUGUGUCAGGAACUUCAAAGAGAGAAUGUGGACCUAACUGUGCAGUCUUCAUUAUCGGCUAAAGAGCGCCCCCUGGCUGCCGUCGCUGGUGCACUGUGGAGGCAUUUCUUUUCCUUUCUCAAGAGUCAGAGAAUGACACAAGUUGUGCCUCUCUCCCAGCUUGCAGAUGCCGCUGCAGAUUUUACUUUGCUGGCAGUGGACAUGCCAAACACAGCACCACCAGAUCUUCAGCCACAGCCAGUUAUAUCAAUAAUUCAGCUUUUUGGUUGGGAUGAUAUCAUCUGGCCCCAAGUUGUAGCAAGAUAUUUAAGUCAUUUGCUACAAAAUAGCACAGUAUAUGAAGCACUUUCUCAGUCAAGUUGCGUGUCUUCUCAGUCCUUAACUAUAAGAUCAUGGGUCCGUUGUGUUUUGCAAAUGCACAUAAAACACCUCUCUGACCCUGACUUGCUGAUUGAUGUGAAUCCUGAACAGGCCGUGGAAAAAGAGUACAUGGAACAGCUGGCUGAAAUGACAAGAUUACUAUUUACACUCUCAGAAGUAAAGAGUGUCUUCUCAAAGGCUCAAAUAGAGCAAUUACCCAGCCCAGACGAUCCCAAGCAAGCGCUUAUUCAGUUCCUGGAGGCUGUUGGUGUGACUUACAGGACUCUGCAGACAUUUUCUGAUAAAUCUGCCAUGGUCACAAAGUCCUUAGAAUACCUUGGUGAAGUAUUAAAAUAUAUAAAGCCUUAUUUGGGGAAAAAAGUUUCCAGUGCAGGGUUGCAGCUGACUUACGGGAUAAUGGGAAUUCUUGUUAAGUCAUGGGCACACAUCUUUGCCACCUCUAAAGCACAGAAGCUACUUUUUCGGAUAAUAGACUGUUUGUUGCUGCCACAUACAGUGCUACAGCAAGACAAGGAGCUGCCUGGACCCAUGCUGACUGCAAUUCAGAAGACGCUUCCUCUCUAUCUACAGGAAAUCCUACCUUGAGUUCAAAGGGUCCUCACCCCCUCCUCGAUUAGCAUCCGUAUUGGCCUUCGUCCUUCAGCUCUUCAAGGACACCGAAAUGGGUGCCUGUGACCUUGAGCUGCUCCUUCCUGGCAUCCUGAAAUGUUUGGUGUUGGUAAAUGAACCCCAAGUUAAAAAGCUGGCCACAGAGAACCUGCAGUGCAUGGUACAAACCUGCCAAGUGGGGUCAGAAGGAGGACCUGCCACCCAGCUGACUUCUCUGUUUAGGUAACUAGAACACAUGCCAACUGGCAAGGAGACGAUUGCCAGCCAUUUGACAGCCAACAUUCUUUUUAAAUAACUAAUUAUCCAAAACAUAAUGUGUUACUACUUGUUUACAGUGUUUCAAUUAUAGUAUUUGGGGCAGUGGUUGUGUUACAUUGUGUUGCUUUGUUGAAAAAGUAAACGUGCCAAGGAAAAAGGUAAGCUAACUGACUUAAAAUUCCUUGUGUCUUCAGUGGGAAAGAACCUUGACUAUAGUUGAGAAGGAAGAAACAGAAGCAAGUGUAAGUUCUGACAACAGGCGCACAGGCAUUCGGAGGUUGCCCAACUGCUCUUGGGGAUGCUGGGUAAAAAUGCCUGUCCCUGGUCCUCCAGCUUGCUUUACACACUAACGUUUCAGAACGCUCCUUAGGAUUGAUUGGAGUCUUCUCUUAGGGCAGAGUCUUUGUGCCGUUUCUUCCUCAGGGCUCUGCCGGGUAGCUUUUGUGAAUCCUGUCAUAUAUUCCUGCCCUGGCACAAUUUGACAUGAGGUUUGAGAUGUUCCUUUUAUUCUGCGUUGCAUAUUUGGUUCCUGGUCUCUUCCUCUCGCCUCAUAAUUGGUGCUUGUCUGCUGUUCUCAGUUCAUUUCAGUUAUGGUCACUUUAUGAUAGAACAUUCACGAAAAUUCCAACUCCAUGGGAGGAAAGAAAAGGUUAAAUCUUUGUUAUAUAUAAUUUUACUAAGCUACUUGGCUUUUAUUAUAUUGUUUAUGGAAUGUGAAAAUUUUAGAGGUAAAAUUUUAUUUAUAAAGACUUUGUACUUAUGAGGUUUUUAACUUUACAAUUAUAACUAUCGAAUAAUACAAGCAUGUGAUAGACUAAAACAGUGACUAGGAACCAUGACCCUGCUUACUGCCUUUCACACUCCCAUCCCAAUUUUGAAGGGGAAAAUAUCAGGAAAAGUCCUCAGAGUUACGUUUUUUUUUUCUUUUGUGAGGCACCUGAUUCACCCUGUAGUCAUUUUUUUUGUUCUCCAAGUGUCCACAAGCUGGGCCUGGUGAUACAAACCGGUAAUCCCAGCAUUCUAAGUGGCAGAAGACAGUGGGUAGUGUUGAAGGUGAAGCCGGACC
rnacentral:lncRNA from 1 species